rnacentral:rRNA from 1 species
AUACGGAGGGUGCAAACGUUAAUCGGAAUUACUGGGCGUAAAGCGCGCGUAGGUGGUUUAGUAAGUCGGAUGUGAAAGCCCUGGGCUCAACCUGGGAAUUGCAUUCGAUACUGCUUGACUAGAGUAUGGUAGAGGGAAGUGGAAUUUCCGGUGUAGCGGUGAAAUGCGUAGAUAUCGGAAGGAACACCAGUGGCGAAGGCGACUUUCUGGGCCAAUACUGACGCUGAGGUGCGAAAGCGUGGGGAGCAAACAGGAUUAGAUACCCCGGUAGUCC